GUUGAUAGCAACGAAUCAGAGACCAAGCUUUCCUUUGAAGAUGUUAAAACGGAAGAUUUUGGCGAGUACAGAUGUGAAAUCCGCAAUCCAAAAGGAAAAACAUCAAAAAUUAUUAGGCUUGACCAAAAUACACAACCAAUGGAUCGACAGACAACAACAAAACUACCUUCAUCACCACCACAACCACCACCUUCAUCAACAGGAGGUGAAUCAGAUGCUGAUCCUGAUGCAGGCAAGAGUGUUGAUAUUGCUACUUCAGUUACAGCAUCAGCGGUUGUGAUGGUAACAGCUCUGUUUGCAUCUCUCAUCCUCUAAUUAUGAUGUCAAAGUAAUUGCCGUAAGAAAUGGGGAAAAUAAGCAAGAAUUUUAACAUGUCUAAUAAUGAUAUAAUUAGUGAAGAGAUUUUGAAGUCAUUCUAAAAAUGAAAUUAUAUCUGUGGUAAUCUCCAUUAAAGCAUGUGAUGUGUGGUUGAAGUAUUUCAGACCAUAUAAAACAUGCACAAAUCUUUAAAUUGUUUCACAUAAUAUAUACUCCACAUUUUACUUAAUAUUCUAAACAAAUUCGUCCAAUGGUAAGUUGUCAUCUGUGCAGUUAGUCAGUAAGAGCUAAUUACACAAACCUAUCGUAGAUUUGUGUCCAAAAAACAUUUUUGUCCUAAUUAUAACAUUGAUUAUGCAUUUAAAAUUUUAAACCAAAAAAUGAAUAUACCUAUUUUUGUAAUUCUAUCUAUUUAUCUAUGUCUGUAGUACAGUAUGUAGUGUAGGUUGUAUUUAUUCUUGAUAACAUAAAUCAUUAGUCUAAGGGAAUGUUUAACUGAAUAGAAUAGCAAUAUACCCCCAGGAGAAGAAGUCUUUUAAUGUAGAAGACAUCAAUAUUAUAGUCUGUAGUCUUCUGCCAAUGAAAAAAUAUGCUUCUGAGAGACUGACUGCAAUGAAUAUUGCUUUUCGCAUUCUAAAGAGCUUCAAUACAGGAUGGGACUUUUUGGAAAGGGGGUAUUUUUUUUUAAUUGCAUACAUUUUUGAAUUUGUCAUUUUCAGACAUAUAAGGGUUUACACAUUUUGCUUGAGAAAGAAAUCAAAUUUUGUUUUGUAACUUUUAAACAUUGUUUUAACAGAUUGUAUGGAAUUGAUAUUUCCUAGCAUUGUACCAAGGCCACAAUAUGUUAUCAAGUUGGUUAUUUAGGUUUGUACCAAGGACACAAGUUUAAUGAAGUUUCUCACAAACCAUUUGUACUAUUAAAGACUUAAAUUUAUGCAAAUAAUCUGGUUGCUUUAGUUUAAAAUUAUCUGGAGCGAUUAACCAGCUCCAGCUCGGUCUUCGGUUUACUCAUUACCUAUAGGUUUCCUCUAUUUACAUAAAUAUCAGUUCUGGUGUUGCAAUGAAACCUGUCUAAAUCGAACACCAGAAUGUUGUAUGGAUUGCUGUGCUGUGCUGUGGUCAGUCAGACUUGGAUUGACAGAUUAGCUGUAUCAUGUUAAUUAGCAUCCAUAUUUGGCACACUUUAAAAACGGGCAAAACAAUAGACUGUCUUGUAUUCAUUCAUAUUUGCACGAUUCUAAUAGGGCUGACAAAAUAGACAGUGUACAUGUGCAGUUAACCUGUUUUUCUUUCAAGUUGACAUAUUUGUUCACCUUAACCUGUAAUAGUAGCCUUAUAAUUAUUACGGAUUUAAUUGAUCAGUAUUUUUGACAUAAAUGUUUUUAACAGCACACAUUAUUUGUCCUACAUAGAAUAGAGAUAUUCAACAUAAUCUUGAUGAAAGGUUUCGCUUGCAUAUUAUUAAAGUCAUCAAUUUAACCAAUAUAUUUGUUUUACACUUGAAUGUUUUUAUGAAUGCAAAUAUUUAGAGCAAGCUGUGAAAACAAAUCUUUUUAAGAUUUACUAUUAUUCCUAACUAUUUGUAACAAAGUUUCAACAAAAUUGAUUUCUCAUAUUGACUCGUUUGUAUUUAUUUCAGGUAAAAUAAUUAAUUUGUGGGUCAAGUUAUAUAUUUCCUAUACUGAUGAGACUAUAAUAUUUUCUGUCACUUAUCAAUUCGUUUCUAUUUAGGGUCAUGUUGCCUUGACAACUUGUUUGUAUAUGUAGAAUGUAUUAUGUUUAAUAACUAAUUUGAAUUUAUGAUUUUUUAUAUAACAAGUAUCAGUUUGUAAACAUUUUAGUUUUAUGGCAAUAUUUAGAGGUAAAUUAAUGUUUACAAAAUAUCAGAAAGAAUUCCCAUGUUAAUAUAUAUUGAGCCUGGGGAAAUUCUGAUUGCAUUGUUUUCAAUCUUAAAAUACCUGGUCAGCAUUUCCUUUGCUUCGAUCAAUUUAAAAAAAAAAGCUUCAUAUGCAGGCUUCAUCAAUUAUAUGAUGCAGUAUUUGCUCUAUUAGAAGCACACAUCAAAUUGUAUGCUGGAUUAUUAAAAUAUGACAAUAAUUUGACGGUUACCUUGUCAUUAAUAGAGCAAAUAUGGCAUCUUGAUUUCUGCAACUGAAUUUGAGGUAAUUUACCUGAAUGCUAAACUGUGAGCAAUUAAAAAACAUUUUAACAAGAUUCAAUGAAUGUAUGACAUUUUUAUAACCAAGAAAUUUUCAAGCAAUUUAUCUUAGAUAUGUGAAUGAUUUUGAACUAAGCACUGUUAUAAGACAAAUUGUUCAAAUCCAGAUUGUGAAUUUAGAAAGUUGUAAUAUUCAUGUAGAUGACAUUAAAUAUAAUGAAAAUUUUUAACAAA